ensembl:lncRNA
GGAGGGUUUAUUCUGAGCUGAAACCUGAGGACCAUGACCUGGGGCCUUUCUUCCCGAAGGUAGAAAGGGCACCAAAGAAGUGGGGUGUACAGAGUGGUUGCAUACCCCCAGAGAAGAUGUUUCAUAUAGGAUUGAAAUGUCCCAUUUACAAUAGUGCGAGACUGCUCUGUCGGCACAGUGAUUGAUGGAAGUAGCAGGUAUGUCUUCUGUCUCAGUGAACACAGCAGGGUGGCAGUCUGUUGUCUCCAGCUGAGUGGUCACAAGUGAGCGCCGCAAUCAGUUCCUAGCCUAAGAAAAGAUGCUUAAUAUUUAAGGAAAUGCCAACGUUGGGAGGGGGAGGGAAGUUGCACCUUUAUUGAAAGGGCCUUUGUUCUUGCCAUAGGAAAUGUAUAUACAAUGCAUGCUCAAUGGCCACGGUCAGGCCCUUUUGGAAAAAACAAAGUCAGGCCAAAUUAGCUUUAUACCAAAUGGCUUCCUCAUAUACUUCAAUAUAUACUAUUGCUUGCCAUUUUUAUUUGUCACGUUGUUCAGGAGUUGAUGGCAUGUGGUUCCAGCAUGGCUGUCACGUGUUACAGAGGUGGAUGGCACGUGGUCAGGCAUGUGUGACAUGCAACUCCGGUGUUGGUGACAUGUGAUGCAGGUGUGUGUGCCACAUGCCUCACACGUGAUUCAGGAGCAGCUGUCACGUGGUUCAUGCCUGGCAGGCACUUGGUUCAGACUUGGCUGGCAUGUAUUUCAGGAGUGGCUCACAUGUGGCUCACGUGUGGCUGACACGUGGCUCACACAUGGCUCAGGUGUUUUUCAAGUGGGUCCCACAUGUGGUUCAGGCAUUGCUGACAUGUCAUUCAGGCACGGCUUGCAUGUUGUUUACAUGUGGUUCACAGGUGGUUCAGGCGUGGCUUCCAUGUGGCUCACAUAUGGCUCAGACAUGGCUCUUGUGUCGCUCACAUGUUUCUCAGAUGUUGUUCAAGCAUUGCUCUCAGUUGUUUCAGGCAUGGUUCAGGUGUGUCUCACAUAUGGUUCAGGUGUAGUUCAGGUGUGGCUCACAUGUGGUUCAGGUUUCCUCAAGUGUGUCUCACAUGUGGUUCAGGCAUGGUUCAGGUGUGGCUCACACAUGGCUCAGGUGUAGUUCAGGUGUGGCUCACAAAUCGUUCACGUGUGGGUCACACAUGUUUCUGUUGAGGCUGACACGAGGUUCAGGUGUGGCUCACACAUGGCUCAGGUGUGGCUGACAUGUGGUUCAGGUGUGGCUGAUAGGUGCUUCCAGCAUGGGUGACACAUGGUUCAGGUGUGUCUGACAGGUUGUUCAGGCAUGCUGACACGUACCUAAGGUAUGGCUCACACGUGACUCAGGCAUUGCUGACACAUGAUUGAGAUGUGGUUCACACGUGACUCAGGUGUGGCUGACAGGUCACUCAGUGGUGGCUUACACAAAGUUCAGGAGUGGCUGAUGCUUGUUUCAGGCAUAGCUGCUGUGUGGCUCAGGGGUGGCUGGAGUGUGUUUCAGGCGUGGCUGGCAUGUGGUUCAGGUAGGGGUGAGAAAUGGUUCAUGCAUUGGUGACACAUGGCUCAGGCAUGGGUGACAGGUGGUUCAGGCUUGUCUGACACGUGGCUCAAGAGUGGCUGGCAUGUGGCUCAUGCUUGACUGAGGCAUGGCUGUUGCACGGUUCAGGUGUGGCUGGCUCGUGGUUCAGACGUGGCUGGCAUGUGGUUCAUGUGUGGCUGACACAUGUUUCAUGCUUAGUUGACUUGUGGUUCAGGAAUGGGUCACACGUGGCUCUGGCAUGUCUCUCACUUGUCUCCAGCUUGUCUCACAAGUGAUGCAAGCAUUUCCUGAUCAUGUUUCAGGCCUUUUUUACAUGGUUCAGGCAUGGAUGAGAUGUGGUUCAGGCAUAGCCAGCUGUUGGUUCGGGCAUUGGUGUCACAUUGUGCUGACGUGGCCAGCAUGUGUUUCAGGCGAGGCUUAAAUGUGAUUCAGGCAUCAAGAAAAUGUGAUUCUGGCAUGGUCGAAAUGUGGGUCACACAUGGCUGUCACGUGUACAGGCGUGGCAGAAGUGUGGUCCAGGUGUGGUGGAAAAGUCAUUCAGGCAUGGUAGAAACGUGGUUCACGGAUGGCAGAAACGUGGUUCAGGUGUGGUGGGAACCUGGUUCAUGUGCUGAUGGCACAUUGUUCUGAGGUGGCCAACACAUGUGUUACAAGUGGCAGGGACAUUGUACAGGCGUGGCAGAAACGUGGUCCAGGCAUAGGGGAAAAGUCAUUCAGGUGUGGCAGAAACAUGGUUCAGGUGUGGCAGAAACGUGGUUAAGGCAUUGCCUGCCCGUGGUUCAGGCAUGGUGCAAACGUGGUUCAGGUGGGGCAGGCACAUGGUUCAGGCAUGGCUGGCAUGUGUUUCUGGCAUGGCUGGCAUGUUGUUCUGGUGUGGCUGACACAAUGUGAAGGUGUAGCCAGCACGUGGUUUAUGAGUUGCCAGUACCUAGUUCAGGCUUCACUGGCACGAGGAUCCAGCAUGCUCAGCAUGUGGAUCUGGCUUGGUCAGUACAUGGUUCAAGUGUAGCAGGCACGUGGUCCAGGCAUGGCAGGCACGUGGUUCAGGUGUGGUCAGCACAUGGUUCCGGUGUGGCUGGUACGUGUUUCCAGCAUGGAUGGUGCUGCUUCAGGCAUGGAAAGCAUGCAGUUCCAGGAUGGCCAGUAGGUGUAUCAAGCAUGGCCAGCAUGUGUGUCAGGCAUGGCCUACAUGUGGUUCAUGAGUUGCCAGCACGUGGUUCAUGCAUGUAAGGCAUGUGGUUCAAUAUUUGAUGGCACAUGGUUCAGGCAUGGUAGACACCUGGUUCAGGUAUUGCUGGCAUGUGGUUCAGGUGUGGAUGGCAUGUGCUUCCAGCAUGGCUGGCACAUGGGUCAGGUGUGGCCAGCACAUGGUUCCGGUGUGGCCAUCAUGUGGUUCCUCCAUGGCAGUUACAUGGUAUAGGCAUAGCCAGCACAUGGUUCUGGGGUGGCUGGCACAUGAUUCAGGCAUGGCCAGCAUGUGUUUCUGACAUGGCAGGCACAUUGCUCUUGUGUGGGCAGCACAUGGUUCAUGUGUGGUCGAAAUGUGGUUCCGCCAUGACCGGCACAUGGUUCAGGCAUGGCUGGCAUGAGGAUCCGGCCUGCUUGGCAUGUGGAUCUGGCUUGGUCAGCACAUGGUUCAGGCAUGGUUGAAAUGUGGUUCAAGCGUGGGAGACACUUUGUUCAGGCAUGGGUGACACAUGGUCCUAGUUGGCUGACACAUGGCUCACGUGUGGCUUGCAUGUGCUUUAGGUUGUCUGGCACAUUGAUCAGCUGUGGCUGGCAUAUGUAUAUGUGGUGUGUGACACGUGUUUCAGGCCUGGCUGACAUGUUGUUCAACCACAGCAGGCAUGUGGUUCAGUCGUGGCCAACACAUGGUUCAGGAGUGGAUGGCAUAUGCUUCAGGUGUGGCUGGCAUGUGGUUCAGGCAUGGCUGGCACGUGGUUCCAGCAUGGAUGGCACAUGGUUCCGGCAUGGCUGUCAUGUGCUUCAGGCUUGGCUGUUACAUGGUAUAGGCAUGGUUGGCAUGUUUCUGGCAUGGCUGGCAUGUUGAUUUUGCAUGGCCAACACAUGGUUCAGGUGUGGUCAGCAAGUGAUUCAGGCAUGGCCGGUACAUGGUUCAACACUGGCUGGCACGUAGUUCAGUUGUGGAGGGCACGUGGUUCGAGCAUGGCAGGCACAUGGUUCCAGCGUGGGUGGCAUGUUGAUCCAUUUUGGUUGGCAUAUAUUUGGGGCAAGGCCAGCAAAUCGUUCAGGCAUGGCUCUUAUAUAGCACAGGUGUAGCUAAAUUGUGGUUAACUUGUGGUUCAGGUGUGGUUGAUGCAUGGCUCAGGUUUGUCUGAGUUGCUCAGGCAUGCUUUACACAUGGCUGACUCCUGGUUCAGGCAUGCCUGACGUGUGGGCCAGCCAUAGCUGGCACUUGAUACAGGUGUGUCUGGUGCACAGUACUGACAUGUCUGAUGUGUGGUUCAGGUGCGGCUGGCACAUUGUUUAGAUGUGGCAGGCACGUGGGUCAGGCAUGGCCAGUAAUUGGUUCAGGUGUGGCUGGCAUGUGGUUUAGGCAUGGGUGGCGUGUGUUUCUGAAGUGGCUGACAGGUGGUACAGGUGUGUCUGGCAUGUGGUUCACACGUGGAAGGCAUGUGGCUCAGGCAUGGCUGGCACAUAGUUCAGGCGUGCCUGGCAUGUGGAUCAGGUGUGCCUGGCACGUGAUUCAGGCAUAGCAGGCAUGUGGUUCUGGUGGGGCAGGCAAGUGAUUCCAGCAUGUCUCACACGUGGUUCAGGUGUGGGUGACAUGUGGUCUAGGCAUUGGUGGCACAUGAUUCAGGCAUGGCUGACUGGUGUUUCUGUAGUGGUUGAUACGUGGUUCAGCUGUGGUUCAGACAUGGGUGACACAUGGUUCAGCUGUGCCUCUAACGUGACUCAGGUGUGUUUCUGGUUCAGGUGUGGCUCACACAUGGUUCAUGUGUGGGUGACACAUGGUUCAGGCAUAGCCCACAUGUCAUUCAUGCAUGGCUCACACUUGGUUCAGGCAUAGCUCAUCCGUGGCUCACACGAAGUUCAGUAAUGACACACAAGUUCUCCAGGCGUAGCUCUCAUGUGGUUCAUGCAUGGCUUGCAGGUGGUUCAGGCAUGGCUGGCAUGUGGUUCAAAUGUGACUGACAUGUGACUCAUGCAUGGCUCACAUGUGUGUCAGGCACAGCUCACACAUGGUUCAGGUGUGGCUCACAUGUGCCUCAGGUGUGGCUCAGGCAUUGCUGACAUGUGGUACAGGUGUGGCUCCUAUGUUUUUCAGGUGUGGCUCUCUCAUGGUUCAGAUGUGACUCACACGUGAUUCAGGCUAGCUUGCCCAUUGUACAGGCGUGGCUAACACGUGGUUCAGGUGUGGCUGGCACAUGGUUCAGGUGUGGCCAGCGUGUGCUUCAGGUGUGGGUGACAGGUGGUUCAGGCAUUGGUGACACAUGGCCCAGGCAUGGGUGACAGGUUGUUCAGGCUUUGGUGACACGUGGCUCAGGAUUGGCUGGCACAUUGCUCACGCUUGACUCAGGUGUGGCUGUCACAUGAUACAGGUGUGGCUGGCUCAUGGUUCAGAUGUGCCUGGCAUGUGGUUCAUGUGUGGCUGAAAUGUGGUUCAGGCUUGGUUGAUACAUGGUUCAGGCGGGGGUGACACAUGGCUCUGGCAUGUCUCUCAUGUGACUCAAACGUGUCUCACAAGUGAUACAGGCAUGGCUUGCUCGUGUUAGAGGCAUUUUUAACAUGUGGUUCAGGUGUGGCUGAAACAUGGUUCAGGUGUGGCGGACACAUGGUUCAGGCAUGGCUGGCACAUGUUUCAGACGUGCCCAGCAUGUGGAUCAGGAAUGCCCUACACGUGGUUCCAGUGUGCCUGUCAUGUGGAUACAGCAUGGUUGGCAUGUGCUUCGGGUGUGGCAGGCACGUGGUUCAGGCAUUCCAGCUACAGGUAUCAGGCCUGGCAGGAACAUGUUUCUGCUGUGGCCAACACGUGGUUCAUUCAUGGCCAGCAUUUUGUACAUGCAUGGCAGAAACGUGUUUCAGGCAUGGUGGAAACGUGGUUCAUGUGUGGCUGGCUUGUGGUUCAGGUGUGGCAACCACGUGGUUCAGAUGUGCCAUUAACAUGGUUCAGGUGGGGAGAAGACAUGUUUCUGGCAUGACUGGCAUGUUGUUCAGUUGUGUCAGUCUCGUGGUUCAGGGAUGGUUGGCGCAUUGUUCAAGGGUGGCUGUAAAGUAUUUCAGGGGUGGGUGACAUAUGGUUCAGGUGUGGGUGACAUGAGGUUCUUGAGUGGCUGGAAUGUGGUUGACAUGUGGCUGGCAUGUGUUUCAGGGCAGCUGGCAUGUUGAUGAGUCAUGGCUGUGAUGUGUUUGUGUCAUUUUUGACACGUGUUUCAGGCGUGGCUGACAUGUCUUUCAGGCUUGGCUGGCUCAUGGAUCAGGCGUGCCUGGCUCAUGGUUCAGUCAUGGCUGGCACAUAGUUCAGGCAUGGCUGGCAUGUGGUUCGUGUGUGGCUGGCACAUAGUUCCAACAUGCAUGACACGUGGUUCUGGCAUGGCUGGCACUUGGUUCUGGCAUGGAUGGCAUGUAGUUCAGGUGGCGAUGGCAUGUCAUUCUGGUGUGGUUGGCACAUGGGUCAGGAGUGCCUGGCUGGUGGUUCCUGUGUGGCCAGCAUGUACUUCUUGCAUUGAUGGCAUGUGCUUCACAUGUGGCUGGCACAUGGUUCAGGCAUGGCAGAAAGGUGGUUCAGGUGUGGCUGGCACGUGGUUCAGGGGUGGAUGGCACAUGGAUCUGGUGUGGUCAGCAUGUGGUUCAGGCGUGGGACUCACGUGGUUCAGGUGUGGCCAGCACCUGUUGUCAGUGUGCAAGAACCAUGCUUCAGGCUUGGAUGGCACAUGCUUCCAGUGAGUCCGGCAGGUGUUUCUGGCUUGUCAGCACAUGGGUCACUUUUGGCCAGGACAUGGUUCAUGCAUGGAUGGCACGUGGUUCAAGCUCUGAUGGCAAGUGGUUCAGGCGUGACUGGAAUAUGAUUCAGGUGUGGCCGGCACGUAUUUCCAACAUGGUCAGCAGAUGGAUCUUGCAUGACAGCCAUGUGGUUCAAGCAUGUCUGGCGUGUGGUUCAGGUGUGGUGGAAAUGUAGUUCAAGGGUGGCAAAAACAUCAUUCACAUGUGGGUGAAUGGUGGCUCAGGUGUGGUGGAAACGUUGUCCAACCAUGACAUGCUUGUGUUUCAGGCAUGUCUGGCACAUGGAUCCAGCGUGGCUUGCAUGUGGUUUAGGCAUGGCAGAAACGUCAUUCAGGCAUGGCUGGCAUGUAGUUGAGGCAUGGCUGAAACGUGCUUCAGGUGUGGGUGACAUGUGGUUCAAAUUUCGGUCACAAGUGGCUCUGGUCUGGCUGGCAUGUGGUUCAUGCAUGACUCACAUGUGGUUCAGGGUGUCUGGCACAUUGAUCAGUCAUGGCUGGGACGUGUUUAUAUCAUGAGUGACACGUGUUUCAGGUGUGGCUGAGAUGUGUCUCAUGUAUGGCUGGCAAGUGGUUCAGGCAUGCCCAGCACAUGAUUUAGGCAUGGAUGGCAUGUGUUUCUGUUGUGGCAAGCACGUGGGUAAUACCAGGCCAGCCCAUGGCUCCGGCGUGGCUGUCAUGUACAUCUGGCAUGCCUGGGACGUUGUUCAUGCAUGGUGGAAAUGUGGUUCUGCUAUGGCUGGCAUGUGUUUCAGACAUUGAUGGCACAUGGUUCAGGCAUGGAAGGCACAUGGUUCAGGCAUGGCAGAAUCAUGGUUCAGGUAUGGCAGAAAUGUGGUUCAGUUGUGGCCAGCAAUUGUUUAGGCAUGGUUCAGGUGUGGCUGGCAUGUGCUUUAGGCAUGCCUGGCAUGUUGUUCUUGCUUGAGAGGCAUGUGGUUCACGUGUAGCAAGCAUGUGGUUCAUGAGUGGCUGGCAUGUGGCUCAGGCCUGGUGAAAACAUGGUUCAGGCAUGGCAGAAACGUUGUUCAGGUCAGGCUGGCAAGUGGUACAUGUGGGGCAGGGAUAUGGUUCAUGGGUAGCCAGCACAUGUUUCCAGCAUGACCAGCAUGUGGCGCCAGCAUGGCUGGCACAUUGUUCAGGUGUAGCCACCAAGUGUUUCAGGCAUGGCUGGCAUGUGGUUCAGGCAUGGCUGAAACAUGAUUCAGGCGUGUGUGACACAUUGUUCAGACAUGGGUGACACGUGGUUUUGGCAUGGCUGGCACAUGGUUCACAUGUGGCUGGCAUGUGGUUCAGGGUGGUAGGCAUGUUGAUCAGGUGUGGAUGGCACGUGUUUGUGUCUUGUGAGACAAGUGCUUCAGGCAUUAAUGGCAUGUGUUUCAGGCAUGGCCGGCAUGUGGUUCUAAGUGUUGAUGUGACAUGGUUGAGGCAUUGCCAGCAUGUGUUUCUGGCAUGGCUGGCACAUGCUUCAGGCAUUGCAGGCAUGUGGUACAGGCCUGGCAGAAUCCUGGUUUGGGUGUGGUGGAAACGUGGUUCAGGUCUGGCCAGCAACUGUUUCAAGCAUGGCUGGCAUGUGGUUCUGUCAUGACAGGCACAUAGUUCAGGUGUGGCAGAAAUGUGGUUCAGGAGUGGCUGGCAUGUUGUUCAGGCAUGGCGGAAACAUGGUUCAGUCAUGGAGGGAACAUGGUUCAGGUGGGGCCGGCAUGUGGUUCAGGCCUGGCUGGCACGUGGUUCAGACUUGGCUGAAAUGUGGUUCAGGAAUGUGUGAAACACUCUUCAGAACUGGGUGACAUGUGGUUUUGGCAUGGCUGUCACAUGGUUCACGUGUGGCUGGCAUAUGGUUCAGGGGGCUGGCAUGUGGUUCACCCAUGGCUGACACAUGACUGAAGCAUGUCUGGCACAUGACUCAGGUGUUGCUGACAGGUUAUUCAGUCGUGGCUCACAUAUUAUUCAGGCAUAGCUGAUGUGUGGUUCAUGGAUAGCUGGUAUGUGGCCGACGGGUGGCUGGAGUGUGGUUCAGGUGUGGCUGUCAUGUGGUUCAGGUAUUGACAGGUUGUAGUUCAGGCAUGGAAGGCACAUGGUUCUGGGGUGGCCAGCAUGUGGGUCAGGCAUUAGUGGACCUUGGUUCUGGUGUGGUUGGCCUGUGGUUCAGGCGUGGAUAGCACGUGGUUCAAUUGUGGCUCUCAUGUGGGUCAGGCAUGGACGGGACGUAGUUCAGGUGUGGAGGGCACAUGUUUCUGGCAUGGCUAGCAUGUGGGUCAGGAGUGGCUGAACCUUAGUUCUGGCAUGGCUGGCAUGUGGUUCUGGUGUGGCUGUUACAUGGUACAGGCAUGGCUGGCACAUUGAACUUGUGUGGCGGGCAUGUGUUUCUGGCAUGGCCAGCACGUGGGUCAGGCAUGACUGGCACGGUGGCACCUGGUUAAGGCAUGGCAGAAAUGUGUUUGUGGCAUGGAGGGCACGUGAUUCCAGCUUGGUUGUCAUGUGUUUCUUGUGUGGAUGGCACGUGCAUCUGUCAUGGUCGGCACAUGGUUCAGGCUGGGCUGGCAUGUGGUUUAAGCAUGGAUGGCAUGUGGUUCUGGUGUGGCCAGCACAUGACACUGGUGUGGCCAGCAUGCUGUCAUGUGGUUCAGGCCUGGCUAAAAUGUGGAUCAGGUGUGGGUGACAUGCUGUUGUGACAUGGGUGACACAUCAUUCUGGUGUGGCUGCCACAUAGUCCACACAUGACUGACAUGUGGUCAAGGUGUGCUGACAUGUUGAUUGUGUGUGUCUGGCACAUGUUUAUGUCAUGUGGUUCAGGCAUGGCUGGCACAUGAUUCACACAUUGCUCACACUUGACUCAGGUGUGGAUCACAUGUGGUUCAGGCAUGGCUGACACAUGACUCAGGUGUGACUGAUACGUGAUUCAGGCUUGGCUUACACGUGGUUCAGGUGUAGCUCAGUCGUGGCUCACAUGAACUUCAGUCAUGGCACAAAUCUUCUACAUGCAUGGCUCUCAUGUGGUUCAUUUGUGGCUUGCAUGUGACUCUGGUGUGGCUCACACGUGGUCCCUGCAUGGCUUGCAGGUGGUUCAGGCAUGGAUGACACGUGGUUCAAGAGUGACUGACACAUGACCCAGGCAUGGCUCUCACAUGUUUCAGCCUUGGCUCACAUGUGUUUCAGGUGUAGCUGACACAUGGUUGAGGUGUGGCUGACAUGUGACACAAGCAUUGCUCAGGCAUGGUUUAGGUGUGGCUCACAUGUGGUUCAGGUGAUGUUGAACCAUGGUGCAUAUGUGCUUCACAUGUUGUUCAUGAGUGGUUCAAGCAUGGUUCAAGCAUGGUUCAUAUAUAGUUCAUUCCUGGUUCAGGUGUGCCUCACACAUGGUUCAGGUAUAGUCCAGGUGUGACUCAAAACUGGUCAACGUGUGGCUCACAAGUGUUUCAGGAUUGGCUCACAGGUGGUUCAGGCAUUGCUGACACAUGGUGGAGGUGUGGCUGACAUGUGGCUCACUCAUGGCUCAGGCAUGGCUUGCACAUCGCUCAGGCAAAGCUGACAUGUGGAUCAUGGGUGGCUCCUGCGUGUCUCAGGCAUGGCUUACAUGUGGCUCCUGCAUGUUUAAUGUGUGGCAUGUUUGGUUCAGUCAUAGCUGACACGUGUUUAUGGUGUGGCUGGCAUGUGGUUCGGGCAUGGCUGGCAUGUGGCUCAGGUCUGGCACAGGUGAGGCUCACACAUUGCACACAUGUGGCUCAGGUUUGGCUCACAUGUGGCUGACUUGUUCAGCUGUGACUGACAGGUAUUUCAGGUGUGGCUGGCAUGUGCUUAACACAUGGCUGGCACGUGGUUCAACCGUGGCUGACACAUGACUGAGGCGUUUCUGACACGUGACUGAGGUGUGUCUGACACAUGACUCAGACAUGAUUGACACGUGACUCAGGUGUGGCUGACAGUGUACUCAGUCAUGGCUCACACAUUGUUCAGGAAUGGCUGACGUGUGGUUCUGGCAUAGCUGCCAUGAGGCUGAAAGGUGGCUAAAGUGUGGUUCAGACAUGGCUGGCAUGUGGUUCAGGUGUGGGUGAGAGGUGGUUCAGGCAUUGGUGACACAUGGCUCAUGUGCAGGUGACACAUGGUUCAGGAUUUGGUGACAUGUGGCCCAGGAAUGGCUGGCACAUGGCUCACACUUGACUCAGGCAUGGCUGUCGCAUGGUCAGGUGUGGUUGGCUUGUGAUUCAGAUGUGGCUGUCAUGUAGUUCAUGUGUGGCUAAAACGUGGUUCAGGCUUGGUUGACACAUGGUUAAGACUUGGGUGACACGUAGCUCUGGCAUGUCUCUCAUGUGCCGCAAGCAUGUCUCACAAGUGAUACAGGCGUGGCUUCCUCGUGUUUCAGGCCUUUUUUCAUGUGGUUCAGGCCUGGAUGGCACGUGGUUUAUGUUUCACCGGCACAUGGUAAAGGUGUGGCUGGACCUUGGUUCCAGUGUGGCUGGCAUGUGGUUCUCAUGUGGCCAUUACAUGGUACAGGCAUGGCUGGCACACUUUUCAGGCAUUGCUGGAACAUUGAACUUUUGUGGCCAGCACGUGGUUCAGGCAUGGCUGGCGUGUAGUUCAGGUGUGGUGGAAACGUGGUUCACACAUGGUGGAAAUGUGGUUCAGCCAUGACUGGCAUAUAGUUGAGGCAUGGAUGGCAUGUGGUUCAGGCAUGGCUGGCAGGUGGUUCAGGUGUGGCCAGCAGGUGGUUCAAGUUUGGCUGGCACAUGGUUCAGGUGUGGCUGGCACAUGGUUCAGGCAUGGCAGAAAUGUGAUUCAGACAUGGCUGGCAUGUGGUUCAGGGGUGGAUGGCAAAUGGAUCUGGCAUAGUCAGCAUGUGGGUCUGGCAUGGGAGUCACAUGGUUCAGGUGUGGCUGACACCUAUUGUCAGUGUGGAUGAACCAUGCCUCAGACAUGGAUGGCACAUGCUUCCAGCGUGUCCGGCAGGUGUUUAGGGCAUGGACGACACAUGGGUCAGUUUUGGCUGGCACAUGGUUCAGGCUUUGAUGGCACAUGGUUCAGGCAUGGCCAGAAUAUGGUUCAGGUGUGGCAGGCACGUGUUUCUGACAUGGCCAGCACAUUGAUCUUGAAUGACCGGCAUGUGGUUCAGGUGUGGUGGGAAUGUGGUUCAAGGGUGACAGGAACAUCACUCAGGCAUGGUGGAAUGGUGGUUCCGGCAUGGUGGAACUGUUGUUCAACCACAACAAGCACAUGUUUCAGGCAUGGCUGGCACAUGGAUCCAGCGUGUCUUGCACAUGGUAUAGAUGUGGCAGAAAUGUUAUUAAGGCAUGGCUGGCAUAUGGUUCAGGCAUAGUUGAAACAUGGUUCAAGCAAGGGGAACACGUGGUUCAGGCAUGGGUCACAGGUGGUUCUGGCAUGGCUGGCAUGUGGUUCACACAUGCCUCGCAUGUGGUUCAGGGUGGCUGGCACAUUGAUCAGUCAUGGCUGGAAAGUGUUUAUAUCGUGUGUGACACAUGUUUCAGGUGUGGCUGAGACGUGUCUCAUGCGUAGCUGGCAAGUGGUUCAGGAGUGACCGGCACAUGAUUCGGGCAUGGAUGGCACAUGUUUCUGUCAUGGCCAGCACAUGGGUAAUGCGUGGCCGGCACGUGGAUCCAGCAUGAUCAUCAUGUGGACCUGGCAUGUCUGGGCCAUUCUUCAUGUGUGGUGGAAACGUGGUUCCGGCAUGGCUGGCAUGUGUUUCAGACAUUGAUGGCAUGUGGUUCAGGCAUGGGAGGCACCUGGAUCCAGCAUUUUUCACCCAUGGUUCAGACAUGGCAGGCACAGGGUUCAGGCAUUGCAGGCAUGGGGUUCAGGCAUUGCAGGCAUGUGGUUCAGGCAUGGAGGGCACGUGAUUCCAGCAUGGUUGUCACGUGGUUCAGGUUUG